rnacentral:rRNA from 1 species
CAACGCGAAGAACCUUACCAGGUCUUGACAUCCCUCUGAAUCCUCUAGAGAUAGAGGCGGCCUUCGGGACAGAGGAGACAGGUGGUGCAUGGUUGUCGUCAGCUCGUGUCGUGAGAUGUUGGGUUAAGUCCCGCAACGAGCGCAACCCUUGAUCUUAGUUGCCAGCAUUUCGGAUGGGCACUCUAAGGUGACUGCCGGUGACAAACCGGAGGAAGGUGGGGAUGACGUCAAUCAUCAUGCCCCUUAUGACCUGGGCUACACACGUACUACAAUGGCCGGUACAACGGGCUGCGAAACCGCGAGGUGGAGCCAAUCCUAGAAAAGCCGGUCUCAGUUCGGAUUGCAGGCUGCAGCUCGCCUGCAUGAAGUCGGAAUUGCUAGUAAUCGCGGAUCAGCAUGCCGCGGUGAAUACGUUCCCGGGUCUUGUACGCACCGCCCGUCACACCACGAGAGUUUACAACACCCGAAGUCGGUGGGGUAACCGCAAGGAGCCAGCCGCCGAAGGUGG